CUUCGGAUUAGCAGCCACACCAAGAGGAAAAUCAGCAGGGCUCCUGCCACCAUCCCUGUCACCGCUCCUGCGACCAUGCCGAUGCUUUGUACAUCUGUUUUCUCAGAAACAAAAGCAAAAGGUGUACCGGCCCUCGUCACUGGGCUUCAGAGGCUCAAUCUGCAGGGAAGCAUCUCCUGCGAGGAAAUUGGAAGCAAAGGCCACCCGGCCCUUCUGUUCCUCAGUCAAGUUACUGUAGACAUGACGACUGGAGUAUGUGAUCACCUGAGGGACAGAUGGAGGCAGAGUCAAGCAGGGUGGCUCUCAGCUUUGUUCUCCUGCUGAGCUCAAGAUGAGGAAAGGGAAUGCUCCUAAUGGAACAAAGCAGUCAAACCUGGGGCUGAUUCUAAGAAUCCAAGAGACCUCUAUUCUAAACAAAGUUAAAUCCAGUAUGUUUGUUCUAAGAAUAAGAACACCUCAUAUUUGUGUUGCAUUUUAACUAUAAAGUAGUAAUUGUCUCAGUAAGUGCUCAGAACCUUUCCAUUUUAUAGGUAAGGACUUUUCUUUUUGCCCCCCACCUUAAGGGAGGCACUGGAGAUUGAACCCAGGACCAUGUGCACGCCAUGCAUGCGCUCUGCCACCGACUGUACCACCCACCCCCAAAAAAGACUUUUAAAUGUGAGUUAGAGGCUGAAGAUCUCGGAGCUAAGUCCAGGAAAGAAGGAAAUGCACGGAAUGGUCUCCAGAGUUGACUCAGGAGAAGUGAGAGAAUGGAGGCUAAGGAAGGACAGAGACUUACCCCCCAUCCCCACAUACCUUCCUAACUUUUGAGUUUCCUACCACCUGCAUGUGAUCGGGUCAAAGUACAUACACCCCAUGUGCUUGGUGCUUUUCCAUCUGGUUUAUGUCUCACACAGUUUUUCCAAGUAUGCAUUAUCUAUCCCCAUUUCCCAGGCAGGCAGCAGAAGAAGGGUUUGACACAGCCAUCUAAAGCCAUCCAGUUCAUUGUUCUGGUUACCACCGUGACCUCUCCUUUUAUUGUGCUGCUCAUAGACUGCUUUCAGAAAGUUUGGAAAUGAAGGAGAAAACGUGAAAUGAAAAAAUGUGUUUUGUCUUUAUGAAAAUAAAGAGUUCAGCUGAAGUUAAAGAGCAGAAGUUAAUCAUUAGAAUCCAGGUCUGUUACUCAAGGCUUCACUGUUAGACUUCCCUCCUUUUUUUUUGGCUUCACUGUGGAUUAAUAAGAGUUAGUUAGGUGGGAAAAAAUUAUAUCCUUUCCUUCCACAAAAUACACAUAAGCUCCAUAUCUUUGUUUUCCCAGGUGGGGAGACCAAAGUUGAUUCCCCAACAGAAAAAAAAAAAAUCAUGAUUUUUACUGAAUUUUCAUCUGCCUGCAUCACAACCUCUAGUUCUUGAACCUUUUCCUGGUUCUCUUAGUCCAACACCUCCUGUUAAUCACACACACACAGACAAAACCAUGCUGAUCUAGUCUGCCAAGACUUGAAGCUAUGUAACUUCAGUUUUGCCCUCCCUGCCACUUACUAGUCAUAUUCCUAAACUUACUUGAUUUAAACAUCAGCAAACUUUUAUGGAAUGACUGCUCCCCAUCAGGUCAGGAGGAGGCUAUUAAGAUGCAUAAAAUCCUCUUCUUAUCUUCAAGUAACUUAUUAUCUAGUAGGAUUAACAAGGGGAGAAAUUUAAACAUAGAAAAUUAAGGAAUGAUUAACUUGAAAUAGUAUCCAAGAGAAUGUCCCAGAAAAGUUGGUGGCAUUUGAGCUAGGCUUUGAAAGAUGAGUAGACUGAAAAAGAAAUGCGAGAGGCAGGGAGAAGGUCGCUAGAGGGAGCAUUCCAGAUACACAGAAGGGCACUAAAAAAGAAGGCAGGCGAGCAAUGGGAGCCCCCAGCACACUUUCAGCUGCAGCUGUUCCAAAUUGUUUCACUCGGCUGUUAAGCCCGUAACCCAUCCUCAAUCACAUGACUCCCUACAGCUCAGGAAAUGCUUUCCUGAAAAGCUUUGAAGCAUCUAUAAAAUGGCCAUAAAUUCUCUCACCAGUAUAGCAAAACUUUUCAGUAUCAUCCAUUUUGCCCUUAGCACCUCUCUGAGAAAAGUGUUUUCUCCUUUCUCUGCAUUUUUUUCUUCUCCAGCAAAUAUUUGAGCACACAUAGUGUGCUGCAUGCUGGAGAACCAGCAGGAGUAAGACACAGUUCCUACCCUGAGGACCUCACAGUAGUGUGGGGGGUAAAAUGGGGGAGAAGCGAGUAUGAGAAAAUUGAGGUAGACCCUGUAACCAGUAAUACCAUUCAAACGUUUUAGGUCUUCAGUUUUGCCCCCUCACUUCAAUCCACACCACCACUGUGAUUGUUCUGACAUCCUUAUCUCUACCGCCAGCACAUUUUUGAGCUCCAGUGUUAUAUUUCCAGCUGCCUGGCCACUGCAGAUGUCUGUCCUAUCCAAUCUACCCUACAUAACAGUGUACCUUAAUGCCAAGUUAAUACUCAUGUAAAACUCACACUAGCUCUUUUCCAGACUGAAAACCUUUCAUGGCUCCCCACCACCUCUGAAUGAUGACCAGAUUCAGUCCAGGGUCAUCAAGAUGACCCCUGCAUCACUUUCCCAACCUCAUUUCCUGUUUAGUCCCCCUCACAUCCCUGGGUGCGUCCACAUUACGUUCCUUCCCUUGCUUUCCUGUGAGCUGUGCUUGCUUUGUACUCAUACACCUUUGCUCACAACAUUUUUUCACUUAGAAACUCCCUUUUCUCUCCACAUAAAGGAUUCAUAUCCAUUCUUUUAAACCCCAAAUCAGCGUUAACUCCUUCCUUGAUAUGAUACUCAGACUAAGAAUGGUCUCUUCUCUUUACUGUCAUCCAUGGCAUUUCUUGGCAUCAUUUUUAUGUGAGGAGAAAUUGUGAAAGACAAGACUUUGAGCAGUUUCCUGGAUCCCCCUUCUAUGAUUCUGGGCACGGUUCAGGAGACCCUUCGGGCUAAUUCUGAUUUUAAUACACAUUAGUUGCCCUUGACUGUCUUUGGCUAGGCUAUUUUGCAACCUCACAGUCCUUCAUUCAAUAAACAUUUAUUAAAAACA